GUGGCGAACGGGUGAGUAACACGUAUCUAAUCUACCAUUUAGUGGGGAAUAACUGUUGGAAACGACAGCUAAUACCGCAUAAUAUUGCUGGAUAAUUUCCAGUAAUGAAAGGAGCUUUCAAGCUCCGCUGAUUGAUGAGGAUGCGGCGCAUUAGCUAGUUGGUAGGGUAAUGGCCUACCAAGGCAAUGAUGCGUAGCCGAUCUGAGAGGAUGAACGGCCACAUUGGGACUGAGACACGGCCCAAACUUCUACGGAAGGCAGCAGUAGGGAAUUUUUCACAAUGGGCGAAAGCCUGAUGGAGCAAUGCCGCGUGACUGAUGAAGGUCUUCGGAUUGUAAAGGUCUGUUGUAAGGGAAGAAAUGGUAAAACAGGAAAUGGUUUUAUCUAUGACGGUACCUUACCAGAAAGCCACGGCUAACUAUGUGCCAGCAGCCGCGGUAAUACAUAGGUGGCAAGCGUUAUCCGGAUUUAUUGGGCGUAAAGGGUGCGUAGACGGUUUUGCAAGUCUGAGGUUAAAUUUAGGAGCUCAACUCCUAAUCGCCUUGGAAACUACAAGACUAGAGUAUAGGAGAGGUUAGUGGAAUUCCAUGUGUAGCGGUGGAAUGUGUAGAUAUAUGGAGGAACACCAGUGGCGAAG
rnacentral:rRNA from 1 species